rnacentral:rRNA from 1 species
GACGAACGCUGGCGGCGUGCCUAAUACAUGCAAGUUGAGCGCUGAAGGUUGGUACUUGUACCGACUGGAUGAGCAGCGAACGGGUGAGUAACGCGUGGGGAAUCUGCCUUUGAGCGGGGGACAACAUUUGGAAACGAAUGCUAAUACCGCAUAAAAACUUUAAACACAAGUUUUAAGUUUGAAAGAUGCAAUUGCAUCACUCAAAGAUGAUCCCGCGUUGUAUUAGCUAGUUGGUGAGGUAAAGGCUCACCAAGGCGAUGAUACAUAGCCGACCUGAGAGGGUGAUCGGCCACAUUGGGACUGAGACACGGCCCAAACUCCUACGGGAGGCAGCAGUAGGGAAUCUUCGGCAAUGGACGAAAGUCUUACCGAGCAACGCCGCAUGAGGGAAGAAGGAUUUCGGAUCGUAAAACUCGGUUGGUAGAGAAGAACGUUGGUGAGAGUGGAAAGCUCAUCAAGUGACGGUAACUACCCAGAAAGGGACGGCUAACUACGUG